AUAUAUAUAUAUACACACACACACACACACACACGAGGGAGAGAGAGAGAGGAAGCUAUUACCUGCAUGAUCCUAGCCAACUAUAGCAGAUAUCAUCCCAGUAAAAUGAAGCUCUAGCUAGGUAUUCAUGUCACUCAGUAUCAGUAUUGAAAGCCCACAGAGGAAGGCAAUACUGGCAUGAAGCCCAUCUCACGUUGCCCUAUACAGUAUUGUGGUUAUUUAUGGAUCUAUAUUAUUUGUUUUGCUGGACUGUUGGUUUCAUGAAGGUGGGGACUGUGUCUUGUACAUCUUUAUACCAGUGUAACAGCUUCUCCAGUGCCUCAUCCAGUUCAGUUCAGUACACUUUUGAAGGUGUAGGAGCUAGUCAUUUCUACUUAAUAAAAGGGAUUUAAGAAAAAAGAUGGACAAGAUGUAAUCUUAAUAAACAUAUUGUGGUUUUCAGGAAACAGUUUACUGGGAAAAUGAAUAUAUUUGUCUCUCUAUCUUAUGACCUUAUUACAUAUUAUAGAUCUUAAUUCUUAAGAUUCUAAAAAGAAAUCAGUUUAUGUGCUUGAAAACACAUAUAUGUAAUCUGAUUGUGUCAUCUUCUGCUUACAAUCCAUUGCCUGUUCACAGUUAUGGAUGGAAUCUUGUUUCUUUGAGUACAAGGAUUUUCAGGCUGACAUGUGCCUUAUCUGUGAAGGAUUGUUUCUUGCUGUGGGCCCGAUGCAGUGAGCUGUACUUGAAUUUCCAGACCUCUACUGCUUUAUGCCUGUUGGUUUUUCUUGUGCUGCUCAGUCUGAGUGAAAGGCCCUUCACCCAUUCCCAUGAUGAAUUUCUACUUAUCCUUUAAAAUUCAGCUCACAUUUCCUCUUGAAAGUUUUUCCUGGUAUCUUUCCCACUCCUGCCUCCCUGAAGAAACUGAAAUUCCUUCUUCCGUAUUCUUUUAACACCUUGUACACCUGUCAUGUCUGUCUUUGUCAGGAGACUGUACACUACUUCAGAGCAGGUACUUUGUGUUUAAAGAGGUCAAAACCUAGUGAGGGAGCUAGAUAAGAAAAACAACUAGGAAGAUAUCAUAUGAGAUAUGUAUAUUUAAAUGUAAACCUGUAUAUACAUAUAAUUUAUGGUAGAAGUAUGCACAGAGGCUCAUGAAAGCACUGAGGAGGGUACGAACUCAGCAAAUCUUAGAGGUGAUAAUGGUUAAACUGAGUGUUGAAGUCUGUCUAGACAUUAGUGCAGUAGACAAGGGGAGAAAAUGGCAUUCCAUGUGAAAGUGUGGAGCUAUUCAAAAGUGUAUUUCCUAGAACUGCAAUUAGUUGCUAUUCUUGUGAAUGUGAUUGGAAAUGAGGCUAGUGGGAUAGGCAAGGGUCACAUCAUGAAAUGUGGUACUGAAUGCCAUGCUGAGUGUUUGAAAUAGUAUAAUGAGCUAAAUGAACAUGAUGAGGAGACAGUGAAUGAGUAUAAGAAACAGAGUGGCAUGCCAAAAUCAUGGGUUAGUGAGGUCCCUCUAACAACAUUUCAUGCCUGGAUUGAAGUCCACAAUGUUGGACAGAAAGACUGCUAUGCUAUCACUUACAUGACCAAUAUUUUAUUGAUGGGCAUUUAAGUUGUUUUCAAAUUUCUAUUUAAGGUUCUUCAUCAGAUAAAUUUGGAAUAAUUAUCAU